GACGAGUGGCGGACGGGUGAGUAAUGCUUGGGAACUUGCCUUUGCGAGGGGGAUAACAGUUGGAAACGACUGCUAAUACCGCAUAAUGUCUACGGACCAAACGGGGCUUCGGCUCCGGCGCAAAGAGAGGCCCAAGUGAGAUUAGCUAGUUGGUAAGGUAAAGGCUUACCAAGGCAACGAUCUCUAGCUGUUCUGAGAGGAAGAUCAGCCACACUGGGACUGAGACACGGCCCAGACUCCUACGGGAGGCAGCAGUGGGGAAUAUUGCACAAUGGGGGAAACCCUGAUGCAGCCAUGCCGCGUGUGUGAAGAAGGCCUUCGGGUUGUAAAGCACUUUCAGUUGUGAGGAAAAGUUAGUAGUUAAUACCUGCUAGCCGUGACGUUAACAACAGAAGAAGCACCGGCUAACUCCGUGCCAGCAGCCGCGGUAAUACGGAGGGUGCGAGCGUUAAUCGGAAUUACUGGGCGUAAAGCGCACGCAGGCGG
rnacentral:rRNA from 1 species